rnacentral:rRNA from 1 species
UACGGAGGGUGCAAGCGUUAUCCGGAUUCACUGGGUUUAAAGGGUGCGUAGGCGGGCAGAUAAGUCAGUGGUGCAAUCUCCGAGCUUAACUCGGAAAUUGCCGUUGAUACUAUUUGUCUUGAAUACUGUGGAGGUAAGCGGAAUAUGUCAUGUAGCGGUGAUGUGCUUAGAUAUGACAUAGAACACCAAUUGCGAAGGCAGCUUACUACACAGCGAUUGACGCUGAGGCACGAAAGCGUGGGGAGCAAACAGG